rnacentral:rRNA from 1 species
ACCGGCGCACGGGUGAGUAACACGUAUGCAACCUGGCCGUGACAGAUGGAUAACCGGGAGAAAUCCCGCCUAAUACAACAUAAUGCCGGGAGGGGACAUCCCCUGCCGGCCAAAGGGGGCGACCCCGGUCACGGAUGGGCAUGCGGCGCAUUAGGUAGUUAGUGGGGCAACGGCCCACCAAGCCGACGAUGCGUAGGGGUUCUGAGAGGAAGGUCCCCCACAUUGGAACUGAGACACGGUCCAAACUCCUACGGGAGGCAGCAGUGAGGAAUAUUGGUCAAUGGCCGGAAGGCUGAACCAGCCAAGUCGCGUGAGGGAAUAAGGCCCUACGGGUCGUAAACCUCUUUUGCCAGGGAGCAAUGCCGUCCACGUGUGGACGGAAGGAGAGUACCUGGAGAAAAAGCAUCGGCUAACUCCGUGCCAGCAGCCGCGGUAAUACGUAGGUGGCAAGCGUUAUCCGGAUUUAUUGGGCGUAAAGCGAGCGCAGGCGGUCGCUUAGGUCUGAUGUGUAAGCCUUCGGCUUAACCGAAGAAGUGCAUCGGAAACCGGGCGACUUGAGUGCAGAAGAGGACAGUGGAACUCCAUGUGUAGCGGUGGAAUGCGUAGAUAUAUGGAAGAACACCAGUGGCGAAGGCGGCUGUCUGGUCUGCAACUGACGCUNANGCUCGAAAGCAUGGGUAGCGAACAGGAUUAGAUACCCUGGUA